UGGGGAAUAUUGCACAAUGGGCGCAAGCCUGAUGCAGCCAUGCCGCGUGUAUGAAGAAGGCCCUAGGGUUGUAAAGUACUUUCAGUCGGGAGGAAGGCGUUGAUGCUAAUAUCAUCAACGAUUGACGUUACCGACAGAAGAAGCACCGGCUAACUCCGUGCCAGCAGCCGCGGUAAUACGGAGGGUGCAAGCGUUAAUCGGAAUUACUGGGCGUAAAGCGCACGCAGGCGGUUGAUUAAGUUAGAUGUGAAAUCCCCGGGCUUAACCUGGAAUGGCAUCUAAGACUGGUCAGCUAGAGUCUUGUAGAGGGGGUGAGAAUUCCAUGUGUAGCGGUGAAAUUGCGUAGAGAUGUGGAGGAAUACCGGUGGCGAAGGCGGCCCCCUGCAGCAAAGACUGACGCUCAGGUGCGAAAGCGUGGGAGCAAACA
rnacentral:rRNA from 1 species